UCCGGUUUGGCACCGGCAGUCUCCCCAGAGUUCCCGGCAUGACCCGCUGGCAACUGAGGACAAGGGUUGCGCUCGUUGCGGGACUUAACCCAACAUCUCACGACACGAGCUGACGACAGCCAUGCACCACCUGUGCACCGGCCCCGAAGGGCUGCCGUAUUUCUACGGCAUUCCAGUGCAUGUCAAGCCUUGGUAAGGUUCUUCGCGUUGCGUCGAAUUGAACCACAUGCUCCGCUGCUUGUGCGGGCCCCCGUCAAUUCCUUUGAGUUUCAGCCUUGCGGCCAUACUCCCCAGGCGGGGCACUUAACACUUUCGCUUCGGCAGGAGGGGUCAUCGGAACCCUUCCUACCCAGUGCCCAUCGUUUACGGCUAGGACUAC
rnacentral:misc_RNA from 1 species